rnacentral:rRNA from 1 species
AAUGAACGUUGGCGGCGUGGAUUAGGCAUGCAAGUCGAGCGAGAAACUCACUUUUGAUCUUUCGAGUGAAAAAGUGGGCGGACAGCGGCGAAAGGGAGAGUAACGCGUAGAUCACGUACCCGAGGGUUCGGAAUAGCGGGGGAAACCGCCGGUAAUGCCGAAUAAUGUCUCCGGACCAAAGAUUUAUUGCCCUUGGAGCGGUUUGCGUACUAUUAGCUUGUUGGUGGGGUAAAAGCCUACCAAGGCUAAGAUGGUUAGCGGGUGUGAGAGCAUGGCCCGUCUCACUGGGACUGAGACACUGCCCAGACACCUACGGGUGGCUGCAGUCGAGAAUCUUCCGCAAUGGACGAAAGUCUGACGGAGCGACGCCGCGUGCGGGAUGAAGGCCUUCGGGUUGUAAACCGCUGUCAUAGGGGAGGAAAUUUUGACCGAUCCUAAGAGGAAGCACAGGCU